GAGGGUAUAGCUCAGUGGUAGAGUGUGUGCUUAGCACGCACAAAUCCUGGGUUCAAUCCCCACUACCUCCA
rnacentral:tRNA from 1 species